rnacentral:rRNA from 1 species
CGAAUGGCUCAUUAUAUAAGUUAUCGUUUAUUUGAUAGUGCUUUACUACUUGGAUAACCGUGGUAAUUCUAGAGCUAAUACAUGCUAAAAGACCCGACUUUGGAAGGGUUGUAUUUAUUAGAUUAAAAACCAAUGCCCUCUGGGCUCACUGGUGAAUCAUGAUAACUUCGCGAAUCGCAUGGCCUUGUGCCGGCGAUGGCUCAUUCAAAUUUCUUCCCUAUCAACUUUCGAUGUUUGGGUAGUGGCCAAACAUGGUUGCAACGGGUAACGGAGGGUUAGGGCUCGACCCCGGAGAAGGAGCCUGAGAAACGGCUACUACAUCCAAGGAAGGCAGCAGGCGCGCAAAUUACCCAAUCCCGAUACGGGGAGGUAGUGACAAUAAAUACUGAUACAGGGCUCUUUUGGGUCUUGUAAUUGGAAUGAGUACAAUUUAAAUCCCUUAACGAGGAACAAUUAGAGGGCAAGUCUGGUGCCAGCAGCCGCGGUAAUUCCAGCUCUAAUAGCGUAUAUUAAAGUUGUUGUGGUUAAAAAGCUCGUAGUUGAACCUUGGGCCUGGCUGGCGGGUCCGCCUCACCGCGUGUACUUCGCCGGCCGGGCCUUUCCCUCUGUGGAACCCUAUGCCCUUCACUGGGUGUGGCGGGGAAACAGGACUUUUACUUUGAAAAAAUUAGAGUGCUCCAGGCAGGCCUAUGCUCGAAUAUAUUAGCAUGGAAUAAUAAAAUAGGACGUGUGGUUCUAUUUUGUUGGUUUCUAGGACCGCCGUAAUGAUUAAUAGGGACAGCCGGGGGCAUCAGUAUUCAAUUGUCAGAGGUGAAAUUCUUGGAUUUAUUGAAGACUAACUACUGCGAAAGCAUUUGCCAAGAAUGUUUUCAUUAAUCAGGAACGAAAGUUAGGGGAUCGAAGACGAUCAGAUACCGUCGUAGUCUUAACCAUAAACUAUGCCGACUAGGGAUCGGACGAUGUUAUUACUUGACUCGUUCGGCACCUUACGAGAAAUCAAAGUG